UACGUAGGUGGCAAGCGUUGUCCGGAUUUACUGGGCGUAAAGAGCGCGCAGGCGGCUGGGCAAGUCCGAUGUGAAAGCUUCCGGCUUAACUGGAAAAUUGCAUCGGAAACUGCUCGGCUUGAAGGUGGGAGAGGGUAGCGGAAUUCCAGGUGUAGCGGUGAAAUGCGUAGAUAUCUGGAGGAACACCGGUGGCGAAGGCGGCAUCCUGGACCAAUAUUGACGCUGAGGAGCGAAAGCCAGGGGAGCAAACGGG
rnacentral:rRNA from 1 species